rnacentral:rRNA from 1 species
GACGAACGCUGGCGGCGUGCUUAACACAUGCAAGUCGAACGGAAGGGCCUCUUUCGGGGGGUACUCGAGUGGCGAACGGGUGAGUAACACGUGAGUAACCUGCCCUUGACUUUGGGAUAACUUCAGGAAACUGGGGCUAAUACCGGAUAGGAGCUCCUGCUGCAUGGUGGGGGGUGGAAAGUUUCGGCGGUUGGGGGUGGACUCGCGGCUUAUCAGCUUGUUGGUGGGGUAGUGGCUUACCAAGGCUUUGACGGGUAGCCGGCCUGAGAGGGUGACCGGCCACAUUGGGGCUGGGAUACGGCCCAGACUCCUACGGGGGGCAGGAGUGGGGAAUAUUGCACAAUGGGUGGGAGCCUGAUGCAGCAACGCCGUGUGCGGGAUGACGGCCUUCGGGUUGUAAACCGCUUUCGCUCAUGACGAAGCUUUGUGUGACGGUAGUGGGUAAAGAAGCACCGGCUAACUACGUG